GUCCGUAGCGGUGGGGGUGGCAGGCGAAGCGGUGGCAGCUGGGAGAGGGUUCCGGGAAGAUGGUGCUGAUUAAGGAAUUUCAUGUGGUUUUGCCAUGUUCUGUUCAGGAGUAUCAGGUUGGGCAGCUUUACUCUGUCGCAGAACCUAGUAAGAAUGAGACUGGUGGUGGAGGGGGAAUCGAAGUCUUAAAGAAUGAACCUUAUGAGAAGGAUGGAGAAAAGAGACAGCAUACACACAAAAUUUAUCACCUAAAGAGCAAAGUUCCUGCAUUCGUGCGGAUGAUUGCUCCCGAGGGCUCCUUGGUGUUUCAUGAGAAAGCCUGGAAUGCAUACCCCUACUGUAGAACAAUUGUGACAAAUGAAUAUAUGAAAGAUGAUUUCUUCAUUAAAAUUGAAACAUGGCACAAACCAGACUUGGGAACAUUAGAAAAUGUACAUGGUUUAGAUCCAAGCACAUGGAAAACUGUUGAAAUUGUUCACAUAGAUAUUGCAGAUUGAAAUCAAGUUGAACCAGCCAACUACAAAGCUGAUGAAGACCCUGCAUUAUUCCAGUCAGUCAAGACCAAGAGAGGCCCCUUGGGACCCAACUGGAAGAAGGAGCUGGCCAGCAGCCCGGACUGUCCUCAGAUGUGUGCCUAUAAGCUGGUGACCAUCAAAUUCAAGUGGUGGGGACGGCAAAGCAAAGUAGAAAACUUCAUUCGGAAGUAAGAGAAAAGGAUAUUUACAAACUUUCAUUGCCAGCUUUUUUGUUGGAUUGACAAAUGGAUCGAUCUGACAAUGGAAGAUAUUAGGAGAAUGGAAGAUGAGACUCAAAAAGAACUAGAAACGAUGCGUAAGAAGGGUUCUGUUCGAGGCACGUCGGCUGCUGAUGUCUAGGUGAAUCCCCUGUAGGGUCAGAGACAAUAUCAAACUG